rnacentral:rRNA from 1 species
GCACGAGAAAGCGGAGCAAUCCAUGAGUAAAGUGGCGCACGGGUGAGUAACACAUGAAUGAUCUACCUCCGAGUGGGGAAUAACUGAGAGAAAUCUUAGCUAAUACCGCAUAAUACCCACGGGUCAAAGCAGCAAUGCGCUUGGAGAGGAGUUCGCGGCCGAUUAGCUAGUUGGCGGGGUAAUGGCCCACCAAGGCGAUGAUCGGUAUCCGGCCUGAGAGGGCGCACGGACACACUGGAACUGAAACACGGUCCAGACUCCUACGGGAGGCAGCAGUGGGGAAUUUUGCGCAAUGGGGGAAACCCUGACGCAGCAACGCCGCGUGGAGGAUGAAAUCCCUUGGGAUGUAAACUCCUUUCGAUAGGGAAGAUAAUGACGGUACCUAUAGAAGAAGCCCCGGCUAACUUCGUGCCAGCAGCCGCGGUAAUACGAGGGGGGCAAGCGUUGUUCGGAAUUAUCGGGCGUAAAGGGUGCGUAGGCGGUUUGACAAGUCUGAUGUGAAAUCUAUGGGCUCAACCCAUAGGCUGCAUCGGAAACUGUCGGGCUUGAGUAUGGGAGAGGUGAGUGGAAUUUCCGGUGUAGCGGUGAAAUGCGUAGAUAUCGGAAGGAACACCUGUGGCGAAAGCGGCUCACUGGACCAUUACUGACGCUGAGGCACGAAAGCUAGGGGA